rnacentral:lncRNA from 1 species
AGGGUGAGGGGCGCCACCGAGGAAGCGCCCACCGGGCUCCCGGGGCUGCCAGGCCCCAAAUUGAGGAAGUUGACUGCCAGAUCACACUCUGUUGGCCCACGCAGAUAGAUUCCAUUCAUCCUUUCUAAUGUCUACACCAUAUUUUGGAUAACAUGCCAUCAUCUCACAUUGUGUUGAAAGAAGAAACCAGAAUGUUGGGGUUGAUGUAUGCCAUAUGGAUGAAUUUAAACAGUUUCGGCCUUGCAAUAAUUGGUAUACUUCUAAUUGCAUGUGAAAUUAUACUCUUUUUAACGAAAGAUGAAACUAUUCAGUGGCCACAUGUACCCAGUAACAGAGGGAGCAAAGCAAAUCUUAUCCUCAAAGAACUGCAGCUGCUUGUUAGAUCUACCUGGUGGUUCCAUAGAGAAACUGCUCAGAGAACCUGCCUUUACCUCGCCUAAAACAGAACUAUCCCGGAGCUCAGCAAAGGAGUCCAUUCAUCCUCUAUAACUGCUAUACAAUAUCUCUGUUAAAAUGCUGAGAAGAUUUAUCCUAAAAGAAGGCACCAAAGCAAUGGGGUUCAUCAACUCAGGAUCCAGUAGUGUAAUACAGAAGCCUGUUACGAGAUAUAAGGCACUUUGCCCUCGGAAAUCUCACUGUCGGAAUCCUUGGAAAUCACACCACGCACAACUUCUAUUUCUUCAUAAUUUGCAAAGAACCAGUGUGACUCCAGUCAAGAACAAAAGAUUAAUUGUGAAUUAGCGAAGAACUCUAAUUUUUUCAAGCAGCCACAUGGAAAACGCAUUCUAAUGAAAUCCUUUCCAUUGCUCUUUUUUCUUAGUUCUUCAAUAAAGCAUGCGAUUUGAUCACAAA